CAAAGGUGGCAAGACCUGGGACAAAAUAAUCAGAAAUCAGAACUGGACUAGCAAGAUUCCUAUACAAGAGCUUCUAAAAAGCCAUGAGUUCCAUGAAGUUCAAUACUUUCAACAAUCAUCAGCCUUCUAAAAUGCCAAUUAAGUAAAUUGACAAUCAUGCGGAUUUCUCUAUUCUAAUAUAAUGUUGACAAGUGCAACUACAAUUAAAAAAACAAUGAAACCAGAAUUUCAAUUAUUAAUAGACUUUAAAUUUUAGCACUGAUAUACGAAAAUCCACCUUGACAUGUGCCUGGCAAAAUAAAAGUCCAAAGAUGGGACAUACCUCCUCUGCACGAAGUGUCCAGUAUUGAUCAUUGAUGCUCUCGAUUUUCUCAUUUAGUGGGAAAAUCUACAAAGGUAUAAUGAAUCAUAAGGCAACAAAAACGAACAAGAGACCUUAGAUAAAGAAUGAAAUCAACAAGCAAUACUGCAUAUAUUUGUUGCUUUAGGCUCCCAAAAAUAGCACAUUUAUUUGAAAAAUGUUAUGUACUUUCCAAAAAUCCAAGUUCAAAAUCUAUUUUUUCUUACCAGGUGAGGGUGGGAGAUAAUAUGUUGCGCAUGACUGGUCUAUGGAGAGGCACAUUAUGCCCAAUCCAAAUAAUUUGGGAGUGAAGAAGAUUACUUCACUUGAGGCCCCCCCUAACACCCUGUAGCUUGCAACAAGACAAACAAGCAGCCUAUGUGGAGGUUCCCUUGAGGAUGGUUGAUUCCCUAAAAAUUCAUUCUAGUCGGACUCCUUGGAUCAGGAUCAUUUNNN
rnacentral:lncRNA from 1 species